UGAUGUCCGCGGAGGUGAUGAUGCCCA
rnacentral:piRNA from 1 species